rnacentral:tRNA from 1 species
UGGCUCACUUGGUAGAGCAUGGUGUUUGCAACGCCAGGAUUGUGGGUUCGAUUCCCAU